UGUCUGCAGGUGCAUCUCAUCCUGCAGCACUUCUCAGCAACUGCCCUCCUUUGCCUCCCAGGAAGCAGUGCUGGGCUCCAUUGCAGGAGGACAGAACUCAUUUGCGACGUGCCCAGCAGCACAGAGUACUUACAAACAACUCCUCACAGCCUGCAUCGUGCUGCAGAGACACACCCCACAAUCAUGCAACCACAACACAGAUAAUGAAAGAACGAGUGCAGCACUGUUCUCCUGGAAGAAAUCAGUAGUCUCUUACCAAAGCAAGGACAUUAAGGAAUUCCCGAGUGUCAAAGUGCAGCAAGGUACGAAUGUGAGGGUAGACCUCCUCAUCCACAGAUCCCUCCGUUGAAUGCAACCGGAUGAGAAACUCAAAGAUCUGCAAUGAAGAUCUGCAAUGAAAACACUGCAGGUUUCCUAUGGAUUUCAGAGAAGUGACAUUGCAAGCACACUGGAAAGCAGCAUCACCACUUGCUCUGCACUUAGGCUUUAAAAUACAUUAGCAGUCCAUCACUGUGCUUGAAUGAUGUUUCUUGAUGCUUGUUAGGAGAAAAAGCCCUUCCUUAGGCUCACCAGCCAACUUAUCAACCAACGUCCAAAAAUUAAGGCUCAUUCUUGCAGACUGAACUGUCUGAAGUUAGAUUAACUGCCUGCUCAUGCUGGCAGCUCUCCUCAGCAGCUGUGCAGCUGCUCCUUAACCAGGGCACAGCUCCCCUCCUCAUCAGCAGUUCCUUUGGGAAGAGCCAAGCAAUGUGCCCCCCUCACUUUGAGGGGCUGCAAAAACUGACACAAGUGCUAUCCAACUCCUUUGCUGAAUUCCUAAUUUCAGCAAGUUGAGUAUGCCUUUCAAAAAUGAGAGUAACUGCCUUUAUCUUGCCACUGACAGAGGUGUCCAGUCCUUUCCAAGGCAACAAACAGGAACAGCUCCAGCUGUCCCAGUCCUGUGCUGGUCAAAGCUCCCAAGAGAUCUACCUGCCAGUAGAAGGGCUGCAGGGUGGCCAGUGUCUGUCACGGUGUGUUAAGGUACACACAGGGAUCCCAUGGGGAACUGACAGGCAAUAUGCUUUCCUAGGACAGUAAAAAUGCCACCCCCCAGGAAAUGUCUCAUUUUCUCAUUCAUUCCUGUUCUGAGUUAACUUGUGAACGGUGACAGAGAACGGUGACAGAGAAGCCAGGAAGGAUUAGCAGCUUGACUUUGAGAAGCACAGCCUUCCUGUGUAACUUGGCCUCCUUGAACCUGGCACCUUCCUGCCA